rnacentral:rRNA from 1 species
CUAAUUAAAGCAAAAUCUAAAAAAGGAAGUCUGUUCGACUUUUAAAAAAUUACAUGAUUUGAGUUCAGACCGGUGUAAGCCAGGUCGGUUUCUAUCUUCUAUAAAUAAUUAUACAGUACGAAAGGACCUAUAAAAAUUUUAUAAUUUAUUGGCAGAUAAUUGCAUUAGAAUUAGAAUCUAAUUAAUCUAAAAUUUUUCUUUUCAAUUUCUUACUA